GACGAACGCUGGCGGCGUGCCUAAUACAUGCAAGUCGAACGAGAGCGACCGGUGCUUGCACUGGUCAAUCUAGUGGCGAACGGGUGAGUAACACGUGGGUAACCUGCCCAUCAGAGGGGGAUAACAUCCGGAAACGGAUGCUAAAACCGCAUAGGUCUUCGAGCCGCAUGGCUUGAAGAGGAAAAGAGGCGCAAGCUUCUGCUGAUGGAUGGACCCGCGGUGCAUUAGCUAGUUGGUGAGGUAACGGCUCACCAAGGCCGUGAUGCAUAGCCGACGUGAGGGGGUGAUCGGCCACAUUGGGACUGAGACACGGCCCAAACUCCUACGGGAGGCAGCAGUAGGGAAUCUUCCGCAAUGGACGCAAGUCUGACGGAGCAACGCCGCGUGAGUGAAGAAGGUUUUCGGAUCGUAAAACUCUGUUGUUAGAGAAGAACAAGUGCUAGAGUAACUGUUAGCGCCUUGACGGUAUCUAACCAGAAAGCCACGGCUAACUACGUG
rnacentral:rRNA from 1 species